AUACUUACCUUGACGGGGUCAAUGGACGAUCAAUAAGACCCAUGGCCUAGGUUGGUGAUUUCCAUUGCACUUUGGAGGGGUGCCCGCCUAAGGUCGACCCAAGUGGCUGAGUCUACGUCAUAAUUUAUUUUAGUGGGGGCCAGCGUUCGCGCAGCCCCUAC
rfam:Nicotiana sylvestris Nsyl_contig175300, whole genome shotgun sequence.